GUGUUUCUCUCUUUUAUUUAAAAACAGUGCUUCAUUACCAUUUGCAAAGGCAGAGGCAGUGCUCUUCCUUUGCUUAGAGUUUAUAAAAGCCAGCAACAUGAUCAAUAAUUUAUACACAUGGAUAGUAAUACAAAAAAAAAAUAAGGAAUCAAAGCUAAAGAUCUAACUACUCCGACCUUCACAAUUCCAGCUACUUGAUAAUAAUAGGAGUAACCCAAUGAAUACUGUAUGGUCUAAAAGCUACUAUACAAUAUGAUUCUUAACGAGAGGGGAGGGAUUAGAGACUGUCACAAAGCCCUGGGUGCUUCUCUGGAGUUGGCAGGGAAACAGGACCCUGGGCAAGCAGCUCGGGUGUCCUAGGAAGUGAUUCCGGGGGGCAGGGAGGGGAGGGAGAAAAGGCCAGGCGGUGGAUUAUGCAAGCAUCCCAUGGGAGGCCCCCGUGCCCUGCAGGUACCUGUUUUGCCAUGGCAUCGGGAGGGGGCCUGAGAAACUGCAAGUAGGGAUGUUUCCGUCCCUGCCACGGGGAGCGGGGAGAAGAGGGGAGGUUUGCUGGCGAUUUUAGCCUUGCAGAGAUUUGGACUGAAAAGCUCAGAGACUCAGGUGGGUCAGCCUGUCGGGGACAAGCCAACCCGCCCGGCUCUCUCAGCACUCUGCAGCCCUAGCUUAGUGUGUCAGCCCCAGGUUUGCUCCAGCUGUUCACAAGCAGGAUUAUAACACAAGGAGAAAACAAUUAAUAUCCCGUAGGGGGAAAAAAAAAAGGAUCAAUUCAUCACUCGAUAUAUAAUACAGCCAAAAUGAGCUGCCAAAACUUUGCACACACACACACAAAAUACUGUGAACAGAAAAAUACAAAAAAAAAAAUGAAGAAGCUGGGGGCCUGGCGGGGUAUUGAUGCUGCUUAAAGCACUCAUCGGUCCCCAGAAAAACCAAACCAAAAGACAUUUUUUAAAAAAUUCAAAAACGUAUGUACCCCCUGGGAAUCUGGCAUUGGUAACAGGAGUGGGGAGUGGGGGUGCGGGGUUGCGGGGAGAAAAGAGAAUUGCUGUUCCCUUUUUGCUGGCGGGUGUGAGCUAAGCCCUCACCACACCGGCUGGUGUGUGAGUCACUGCCAGGCGGGGCCCCUCCAGCUGGCGGUCCCCUUCAAGGCCAGGUCUGAGUGGUGGCCGAUGAGCCGUUCUCUCCGUUACCAAGCCCUGCCAACCAGCACUACCAUGGCUGAAGGAUCGACCGUUUUCCUGAGUAAGCUGUAACUGGCUACAGUUCUGGUAACGUGGAGAACUCAGCUGCUGUGGCCGCGGGCCCACGGGCUCUGUGCGAGUGCUCCCCUGGCCCCCUCGGCUCCUCCUUCCUAGUGCACUGGAGUUGGGAAUUGGAGAAUUUGCUGUGGCCUGGUCUGGAAGCCUUAAAGAUGGGGGCCAGGGACUCGACGGCAGCCGCUGGACCAGAGGGCACCCCCCGGCUGAGGACACCCAGAGUCUACUUGGAAAGGGCCCUGCUCCUCGCUGCAGCUCCUGAUGGCUACUGCCUGGUUGAUCAGUCAGGCGAGGAUGAAGGAAGAACACAGGAGAAGGGAAAGGGAGGGAAGAGGCUUUCAGACAGUAACAUUUCCAAAAAAAUAGUGUUUUAUGCAACAGAGCAUCAGGCUUCACCGGUGGAUACUACAAACGGUCAAACAUUUUCAAGAGCAUGACAAAAGAAAAACACACAAGCUUACGUUGGAUGUUCACCUUGCCCACUAUAUAUUUUUUUUUCCUAUCUUAAAACAGUGCAAACAGUAACUUAUGCUUUUAAAACACCACUAUCCCUUCCCCACCCACCAAAGUCCCUUUCCUCCUAUCUCCUGGGGGAAACAAGUCUGUGAUUUUGCACAUGGUACUGUGCUAUAGGGGGUUGCAAGCAGCAGAGAAGCGGCGGGCUUGGUGGAAGGGGGUGGCGAUGACUCAAACUUCUCUGCCAGAACUCUAGGAAGUAGAACCUAAACCAAGAGCAGUUCAGCCCCUGAGGAGUCACUUGCAGGAAAAGCUGCUAUCAUUGAUUUCUACUGAAUAGAGCCCACUAGCUCCCCUGAAACUAAGAGCUGAGCCCCAGUUCCCUUCUUUUUCAAGGAAAGAUAAUAUUGGCUCAAUUCCACCCAUGGCUGCUGGAGGAGGAUGGUGCCGGUAGGUUUUGUAAAACCUGAGAGCCUUAAAAAUGACAAAUCGCAACAGCUGAUCAGGGUCAGUGGGAGCCGAAUUACGUAAUAUAAUGGGUUCUGGAGAAGCUCUGAGGACAGCUCUCUGGGCUGAAAGACGGAUAUUCAGCUAAAGGUGUUUACUAGAGGAUUCCUGGAAGGAGCCCGGCUUCUAAGAGUAAGAAGUGUGGUAGAGAAGUCUACAUGGUGACCUACAGUUGAAGUCAUUCACGUGACUCAGCAUGGGUAAGUUUUCUAGACUUAUCCACCAGCAUCCUCUAACAAACUCACGAGAUGCCAACUCUCUUCUGACUUUGUUUCUGAGUCCACUGGGAACGAAAGUCAGGAAGAAACAAGCACUGAUGGUUUGAGGAACCUGCCUCUGACGAAGCUGCCUGUGUGGAGUCUCGAAGUUCAGAAGCUGAUGGGGCAGGUUGAUGCCAGUAAACUGAGGUGCUUCAAGAACCCCAGUCAGCGCUGACACUGAAAACCAAAGGCCCUUUAAUAACGAUUUAGUCUUUCUUAGUAAAGGGAGCUGAAGGAAGCAGUGUUAACACCAUCCCUGGAAGUACAGCAGAGGCCCACUGGAAAACACAGAGCUUGCCUACCGCAUCCUCAGCCAGAGCCAGCUGAACUGAAAUGUACGAAAGCUCAGGCCUCUGCCUCUUUUAAAAAGGGCUGUAGAAGCUGCCUUCCCUGCCUUUCCCAUCACUAUUCCCUCUUUCUGGAAAAAAGAAAAGAAAAUCCUUAAACUCACUGCCCUGUUCUCUUCUGCCAUGGAUACAACUAUUUAGAAUUUGGCCUUGUCUCCACUGAAGCAGUGGCUCACCAUUUGUUAGAAUGGCCCCUGUAUGAACAGGACACAACAUUUCUCUCAGAUUCUUUAGUCAGUAAAAGCUCUCCCUCAAAACAAAAGCGAAAGAAAGAAAAAUCCUCUCUGCCCCCAGUCCCUUGGACUGUGAAAGCCCCACAUCCCAUUCCCCCACCCCGAACUGAAAUACUUAUAUACACACAAGAAAAAUUGUCUUAACAGCAACAAACCAAACUUUGGCUUGGGGAGGAGAACCCUUAGAAAAUGGCCAAUGGACUGGGCAGUCUGGCGUACUCUAAUCGUGCAUUCCUCCCCAGAAUGAGUAAGAUUGCAUCGAGGCCUCUAGCUUCCUUGAUGUCUCCCCUGGUUUCAGUUUCAGGGAAGCCUCUCUCCCAGUUAUUAGGAGAGAAAGGAUUCUGAAGGGGGAGAAGAUAUGUAUUAUACAUGACAGG
ensembl:lncRNA